rnacentral:lncRNA from 1 species
GGCGGGGCCUCGGUGGGCGGCACCUGACCCUCGGCCUGGGCCUGCCCUGGGUCCUUGCGGGUGCAGAGGCUCGGGGGGAACCGCGGCGGUGCCAGCUGCUGGCCUGCCCUCCGCACACCGCCCACCCACUGGGGCCUCAGAAGGGAAACCGAGGGAUGGGGAAGCGCUUCUGGUCCAACCGCCAGCCCUGGCUCCUGCAUCUCCAUUCUGCUGCACGGAGGACUGGCUUGGGCCCCAGAGGCUGAACCUCUGCACCCCUCUGGCCUUCGUGUGCACCUUCUGCUGUCCCUUCACGGGGAGCUUGCCCGACACCCUGGCAUCUGAAGUGGCCUACGUCUCGUAUCAGCAGACCAGCUGCCAUCUCCACCCAUGGCCAGGCACUGCCCUCAGAGACCCAGCAUGAUCUGCACCCACCAAAUGUCCCUGGACACUCAGGAGCUGGGGCACAGCGCAGAGCUGGGAACCUGGCGAUGGACAUCCGGGAAAAGAAAGCCAC